GGAGGAGGAGAGUUGGAGAAGAGAAGGGUGAGAGGAGAGAGAGGUUGGCUCUGCUCCUUUUCUUGGAGCCGCUGCUCCUCCCCACAUUGGUUGCUCUGUGCCCAAAGGGGAACUAAAGCCGACCAGAGCAUACAUUUAUUUUUUACGAUAUUUAAACAAACAAAAAACUAAAAUAAAAUCAAUGCAGACCUCUAAACCUGCCAAGUAUGUUGAGAGCCCCUCUCACUGACAGCAGUGCGAGACCACCAAUUUCUCCCCCCCCGUCAAUAUUUGAACAGCUAAUUCAGAGUUUGUCCUCUCCGUUUGACUGAAAAAAGCAAGUGAAAGAGUAGAAUGAAUAUGUGUACGUGCUGUAUGAGUUUAGUAGUGUUAUCUGUCUUGACUGUAGUUGGUUGUGUGGCGAUACGUGUGUGUGUGACAACACACACAACAGUCAGUACGGGUUUGCAGCAGCCUAUAUAGACCUACCGAAGUUUCUGUCUCCUGUAUGUUGUUUCCUGUUUCCUGUCUCUGAGUGUUGUUCUCUGUCUCCUGUAGUGUUGUUCCUGUCUCUGUAGUGUUGUUCCUGUUCCUGUCUCCUUGUAGUGUUGUUCCUGUUUCCGUGUCGCCUGUAGUUUUUUCCUGUUUCCUGUCUCCUGUAGUGUUGUUCCCGUGUUCCUGUCUCCUGUAGUGUUGUUUCCUGUUCCUUGUCCUCCUGUAGUGUUGUUCCUGUUUCCUGUCUCCUGUAGUGUUGUCCUGUUUCCUGUCUCCUGUAGUGUUGCCCUAUUUUCCUGUCUCCUGUAGUGUUGUUCCAUGUUCCUGUGUUUUCCUGUCUCCUGUAGUGGUGUCCUUCUCCUAUAGUGUUGUCACUGUUUCCUGUCCUCCCUAUAGUGUUGUCCCUGUUUUCCUGUCUCCUGUAGUUUUGUCCCUGUUUCCUGUCUCCUGUAGUGUUGUUCCUGUCUCCUGUAGUGUUGUUCCUGUUUGCUGGUCUCUACUGUGCCAGAGCUGCUAGAAAAACUGCUUUCAUUAGACCCUUAUCAGGCCUUCAGCCUUCAUUCACUUCUCCAGACCUCUACCAUGUGACUGACCGGGGAAAGACUUCAGUCACUCCUCCAGACCUCUACCAUGUGACUGACUGGGGAAAGACUUCAGUCACUCCUCCAGACCUCUACCAUGUGACUGACUGGGGAAAGACUUCAGUCACUCCCCAGACCUACCAUGUGACUGACUGGGGAAAGAACUUCAGUCACUCCUC
rnacentral:lncRNA from 1 species